GGGAAAGUUGUCCACUGGACCCAGAGGCUUGCAACAGCCGACCACUGCUGGGAACUCGGGAAAGGAAACCAAGACCCCAAUGAUCCCAAUACGCUGACAGUCAGCAAAAUGUCCUGCAAGAGAACCCCCGUUCUGCCAAGCCCUGUCAGCACUCCAGAGGAUCCUUUGGCAGUUGUCUCUGAUGAUCUUUGAAAGCCCCCUUGCUGAAGUCUGCAGAGUGCCUCCACCACCCCUGCCACGGGCUCAGGACGUGCUCCCAGAGCUGUGGAGUGUGACAAUGGUGUUUGUGUCCAGUCUAUCAAACGCCAUUAUCACACUAAAUAGCUACUGGCAGACAAGGCAUCAGGUCAGGAAGGUCUGGGACCUCUGGCACUGCAUCUGCCCACUGUGCUGAGGAAUAAAGAGCCUGGGUGCAUGUACAGCUUGAGGUUUUCUUUUUCCUGCUGGACUGACCAGGACAAUAGAAAACUGAAGCCAAUUAGCUGAUGAAGUGAAACUCCGGCUCUUACUCUGGUACCAAAUCACAACAUAGGUUUGGAAUAUUGACUGAGGUGCUCAUGACAACCUUCAAACACUUUCCAAAAUUCUGAUUAAAAUCUAUUGCCUCUAACUUGAAA